rnacentral:rRNA from 1 species
CGCAGCCGCGGUAAUUCCAGCUCCAAUAGCGUAUAUUAAAGUUGUUGCAGUUAAAAAGCUCGUAGUUGAAUUUCGGGAUCAGUUUGUUGGUCGUGCUUCGGUACGUACUGUCAUUACUGGUUUCUACCUUCUGAAGAACCUUGAUGUCAUUAAUUUGGUGUCUUGGGGAAUCAGGACUGUUACUUUGAAAAAAUUAGAGUGUUUAAAGCAAGCAUACGCUUGAAUACAUUAGCAUGGAAUAAUGAAAUAGGACGUUUGAUUCUAUUUUGUUGGUUUCUAGGAUCGACGUAAUGAUUAAUAGGGAUAGUUGGGGGCAUUAGUAUUCAAUUGUCAGAGGUGAAAUUCUUGGAUUUAUUGAAGACUAACUACUGCGAAAGCAUUUGCCAAGGAUGUUUUCAUUAAUCAAGAACGAAAGUUAGGGGAUCGAAGACGAUCAGAUACCGUCGUAGUCUUAACCAUAAACUAUGCCGACUAGGGAUCGGAUGAUGUUAUUUUUAGUUGACUCAUUCGGCACCUUACG